GGAUUGUGGCUCAGCGGUAGAGUGCUCACCUUGCAUGUGUGAGGCCCUGGGUUUGAUCCUCAGCACCA
rnacentral:tRNA from 1 species